GCUACUCUUUUGAAUGUUGAGGUUUUUGGGUAUCUGAAAGAAAAUGGUGUGCUUCAUCCAUUAGCAAAUUUGCAAGAGGAAGCAAAUGUCUUCAAACACGAAGGACAGCUCUGUGGGUGACAUUAAAAGCGAGCAUCAGGAUCCAGUGCUGCAAACUAUUGUGUUUCCGAAGCUGCCGGACUAGAUGUUUGUUGGCUUCAGUGCACAGGGCAGCUACUCUUUUGAAUGUUGAGGUUUUUGGGUACCUGAAAGAAAAUGGUGUGCUUCAUCCAUUAGCAAAUUUGCAAGAGGAAGCAAAUGUCUUCAAACACGAAGGACAGCUCUGUGGGUGACAUUAAAAGCGAGCAUCAGGAUCCAGUGCUGCAAACUAUUGUGUUUCCGAAGCUGCCGGACUAGAUGUUUGUUGGCUUCAGUGCACAGGGUCCUCAAGUUAUCCACAGGAUUACAAUGGGAUAUGAUGGAGCGACAGCGGAUUGGCACCAAACGAUCACAAGUUUCAGACCUCUCAGGAUGCAACGGGCUCGUCCAUAUAACCCCUCCCACUGGCUUAGGCAAAUCAGUUUUUUGUUUGAUAACUACACAAGAACAAGGAAUGUAUGAAGAACAAACACUUCAUUUUUGUUUUAUUACAAUUUAUUUUUUCGGAACAAUACAAAAUACAACGGUUUAAUUUCCUUCAAUAAAAUUUUAAAUUUA